UCUGGAGUCGUCUAAUGGCAGGACACGGCGCUUUGAACGCUUCAAUGUGGGUUCGAUCCCUACCUCCAGAA
rnacentral:tRNA from 1 species